GCGGCCACCAUUUAAAGAGUGCGUAAUAGCUCACUGGUCGAGUGACUCUGCGCCGAAAAUGUACCGGGGCUAAACGUAUCACCGAAGCUGCGGACUGUUCUUCGAACAGUGGUAGGAGAGCGUUCUAAGGGCUGUGAAGCCAGACCGGAAGGACUGGUGGAGCGCUUAGAAGUGAGAAUGCCGGUAUGAGUAGCGAAAGAGGGGUGAGAAUCCCCUCCACCGAAUGCCUAAGGUUUCCUGAGGAAGGCUCGUCCGCUCAGGGUUAGUCGGGACCUAAGCCGAGGCCGAAAGGCGUAGGCGAUGGACAACAGGUUGAUAUUCC
rnacentral:rRNA from 1 species